UUACCCUUCACAAAAAUAAAGAGGCAACUAUAAAGAGGCGGUUGCCAAUUGUGACUUGGACAACUGUCCCUUAAAUUACUCGGGGGUCAGCGGUUGAGAGAGAGAAGGAGUGACCUCCGGCCACCGCUGCAAUGUGAAAUCCGGCGACUCAGCCUCAGAAGUGGUGACAUUCGACACGAAGGCGUGCGAGGCUGCUGUUCUCUCUCUCUCUCUCUCUCGCUUUCUCAGUGUCGUCCCAGUCCUCGAACGAAGAGUGACAGUAUCAGAAACACAAAAACAAUUAUUAUAGAUAUCUAUCAUCCUCAGUGGCGUUUGCGCUUCGCCACCAGACAAAGCUAAAGAAACCCUAACAAGGGUCAACGAGUUAAACUGAUUUUAGCCUCUUUCAGCCACUGCAAUUCUCCAUGCCCGUCUUACAAUGUUGCGACCUCCAGACAUGAACGGAUGGCCAGAUUAUCUUCGACACCGCCUGCCGACUGUCUACAUUUGUCUUGACAUCCACAAUAGAUCUCUUUCUUACACCUGUGUUACAGUAAUCCUCUAAACCUUCCUUCUUGUAAUAGAAGGAAGCAAAAUCUACAGU